AGCCCAUCCUUCUUCAGGAGCCCACAGACUUCCUUGGCCCCUGGAGUGGUGAAAGGCUGAUACUGGAAUUUGGAGGAGGCUCAGAGCAGGAGGCUGGGAUGUGUGAUGGUGUGAAGGGAAGCUGGACUGAAAAAGGC
rnacentral:lncRNA from 1 species